rnacentral:rRNA from 1 species
UACGAAGGGGGCUCGCGUUGCUCGGAAUCACUGGGCGUAAAGGGUGCGUAGGCGGGUCUUUAAGUCAGGGGUGAAAUCCUGGAGCUCAACUCCAGAACUGCCUUUGAUACUGAGGAUCUUGAGUUCGGGAGAGGUGAGUGGAACUGCGAGUGUAGAGGUGAAAUUCGUAGAUAUUCGCAAGAACACCAGUGGCGAAGGCGGCUCACUGGCCCGAUACUGACGCUGAGGCACGAAAGCGUGGGGAGCAAACAGG